rnacentral:tRNA from 1 species
GGAUUGUGGCUCAGUGGCAGAGUGCUUGCCCCGUAUGUGCGAGGCACUGGGUUCAAUCCUCAGCAUCA